rnacentral:rRNA from 1 species
UACGAAGGGUGCAAGCGUUAAUCGGAAUUACUGGGCGUAAAGGGUGCGUAGGCGGUUCGUUAAGUCUGUUGUGAAAUCCCCGGGCUCAACCUGGGAAUGGCAAUGGAUACUGGCGGGCUAGAGUGUGUCAGAGGAUGGUGGAAUUCCCGGUGUAGCGGUGAAAUGCGUAGAGAUCGGGAGGAACAUCAGUGGCGAAGGCGGCCAUCUGGGACAACACUGACGCUGAAGCACGAAAGCGUGGGGAGCAAGCAGG